UCUGAACGAGCCGCUUGUGAGGAGUGUGGGUUGGAUGAGGUACUUCACCUCUGGGAGACCCAUUUCCACUUCAUAGAUAAUACAAGGGAUGCUGGACCCUGUCGUUUCGCCCUUACAGGGUUUUACAAACUGAUUUCCACACCAGCCAAGGCGGACAGCCGCUGGCAAGUGGAAGCUGGGAUUUAACAUUAUGAGCAGGAGGGCACUGGCCGCAGACCCACCACCUGGGUUUGGAUCUUGACUCUGCCCUUCACUCCCUGCAGGUACCCGGACAAUUGUCUUGGCAUGUUAUCUGUAAUAUCUCCUUUGGAGGGUUAUUCCAUGUUAAAAAAAAAUUCUUCAUAUCCUGCAAAUGAGUGGAUUGAGAAAUAUAACCUCAAGUCAGUCAAGAUGUGUGAAGACUUGAGUGACUCCUGAACUCCUCUGACUGCAGCUUCCAGCAACAGCAAAGGAAGACCCUGGAAGGAUGCAAGUCUGGACCCCUGUGAAAUCUGAGCCGUCUUCCUUGAACAGUCAGCUGUUCAAUCCCUUGCCUUCAGGUCAGAUCAUACUUGAAUCAUCAGACCCUGUGGUCCUUCAACACACACACACACACACACACACGUGCGCACACAUGCCCACGCAUACACGCACGCACGCACACACAGAAAACACACACUUGUAUGAGAUGUUAUGCAUCCUCUCCCCUAAACUCACAGCAAUUAGGAGCUGAAUUCCCCAGUCUGCUGAGCUGGACUUAGAGAACUAGCAAAAGGGACUCUUGAGAAGAAAAAAGGAAUUCCACACUGGUGAGAUUAUGGCUGCAGUGAGGUGGUUUCAUGGAGACGCACUGCUUUAGAAAGGGACGGGUCCUGAUGCUCCCAGAGGGGAGCUGGGUGCAGUGCUGGGGAAGGGGUCCAGGCGCCUUGGAGACAGGAGCUGGCCCUGGGACUGGGGAUGGGCCUCCUGAGCAUCUCCACCUGUGCUCUCACUCCCACCGCCCGGGGCCCUGCAGUAGCUCUGUUCCCCACCAUCUCUGAAAACCAUCCCCUCCGAUGCUAACUUCAAAGCCCCCUGGGAAAGCCAAGUUGCCAGUGAAGCCUCUUUGAGGCAGGUUCUCAUUCCUUCCCCCACUAAUUGAAAUGUUACUCCUUUUGCUAAACCGCUAAACCACCCAAACACAACGGUCUUCCUCAUUUGCAUUGUAACAACGUCCCUAAUGUGCUUCCAAGAGCUUUCCGUGAAGGGGACCUUCUCUCCUCUCCCCGUAUGCACGGUAUGAACCGGUCAAAAGCAAUUCGAGGCAAAGGCCUUCAUUUCCAUCCCUAUACAGCUGCUCAUUAGCUAAGGUGGAAGAAAUUCCUUUUAUUCUGGAUUCAAUUCCCAGGAUGAUAAUGUCUUUUUUGUCUCAGGCCACUGUUCCCAAACUAGGCCUUAAUUGCUGAUAGUAAUUGAGUUAAUACAUAUU